UUGGAGCAUGUGACUUAUGGAGGCA
rnacentral:piRNA from 1 species